GCUAAUACCGCAUAAGCGCACAGCUUCGCAUGCAGCAGUGUGAAAAACUCUGGUGGUAUACGAUGGAUCCGCGUCUGAUUAGCUAGUUGGCGGGGUAAAGGCCCACCAAGGCGACNAUCAGUAGCCGGCCUGAGAGGGUGAACGGCCACAUUGGGACUGAGACACGGCCCAAACUCCUACGGGAGGCAGCAGUGGGGAAUAUUGGACAAUGGGGGAAACCCUGAUGCAGCGACGCCGCGUGAGUGAAGAAGUAUUUCGGUAUGUAAAGCUCUAUCAGCAGGGAAGAAAAUGACGGUACCUGACUAAGAAGCCCCGGCUAACUACGUGCCAGCAGCCGCGGUAAUACGUAGGGGGCAAGCGUUAUCCGGAUUUACUGGGUGUAAAGGGAGCGUAGACGGCAGCGCAAGUCUGGAGUGAAAUCCCAUGGCUUAACCAUGGAACUGCUUUGGAAACUGUGCAGCUAGAGUGCAGGAGAGGUAAGCGGAAUUCCUAGUGUAGCGGUGAAAUGCGUAGAUAUUAGGAGGAACACCAGUGGCGAAGGCGGCUUACUGGACUGUAACUGACGUUGAGGCUCGAAAGCGUGGGGAGCAAACAGGAUUAGAUACCCUGGUAGUCCACGCUGUAAACGAUGAUUACUAGGUGU
rnacentral:rRNA from 1 species